CGCACGCGUGCGCCACACAUAUUAGAUGUCCUAGUUAGCGUACAUUGUCAACUUGACUCAGCCUAGAUGCCACCUGUCAGAGAAGCUUUGGUUGAGGAAUUGCCUAGAUCAGAUUGGUCUGUAGGUAUUUCUGGGGAAGGGUCAUGUGAUGGCUAUUCCUGGUUGUAACUUGACGACAUCUGGAAUGAACUACAAUCCAGAAAUGGAGGGCACACCUCUGAUGCAGAUCUCCGGGCUGAAAGACACAGGUUUCUGACCACGAUAUUGACAUGGGAUAACACACGCUUUUGAUCCAGAUCUUGAGGCAUAGUGGCCAUGAAGAGCUUAGACCCAGGCAAGGUAGCAUAUCCCAGGAGACUGAGCCAAGCAGAUAUCUGAGUUCAAGGCCAGCUGGGGAUAGAGCAAGUUCCAAAUCCAGGUGUGUUGGUACACACUUUUAAUCUGGGCCAUACUUUCUGUUGGAGAUGUACACAAGGACAACGGAAGAUGGAAGGCUCACUUUUCUUUGCCAGCUUGAACAUACUUGCCAGCACCUCUGUUGGAACCUACUUCUUUGGGAUUCCGGCUUAUGCAGAAGACCAGCUGCACUACCUAGCCUCGUGGGAUGGAGCAACAACCAGAUUCUUGGACUUUCCAUUCACAGCUGCCCAUUGUUGUUGGGUUAGUUGGACUGCAGCCUACUUAUGAUUGGAAUGAACCCUCGAUCAAUAGGAGCAGAGUUCUGAAGACCCUUCCAGGAGACCCAAGGAAGAUGGUGGAGUGGUUCAAAGAUCUAAGAGCCAAGAGGUCAGUGGCAGUGUGUCUGUUGUGUAUCCAGAGGCCCGAGAACCAGGAGUGAAGAGGCUGGGAAGGAAUUGAUGUCUUAGCUGGAAUGGUUGGUUGGAGCCAAGGUGCAUUUAGCUCCCGCUGCCCUGUUCUACUCAGCCCCCUGUCUUAGCUUCCUUUCCAGGGAUAUGAUAAGACACCUUGAUAAAAGCUACUUAAAAGAGAAUGGAUUCAUUCCGGUUCACAGUUCAGGGUAUAGUCCACCAUAGUAGGGAAGUCAAGACAGCAGGAAGCUGAAACAGCUGUGUGCACAAUCAGUGUGUGAGUAGAGGGAUGAGUUCAUGUUCCUACUCAGCUCCAGCCCAGGGAAUGGUGCCACCCACAGUAGACAGGCCUUCCUACCUAGUUGAGGGAUGAGUUCAUGUUCCUACUCAGCUCCAGCCCAGGGAAUGGUGCCACCCACAGUAGACAGGCCUUCCUACCUAGUUGAGGGAUGAGUUCAUGUUCCUACUCAGCUCCAGCCCAGGGAAUGGUGCCACCCACAGUAGACAGGCCUUCCUACCUAGUUGAGGGAUGAGUUCAUGUUCCUACUCAGCUCCAGCCCAGGGAAUGGUGUCACCCACAGUAGACAGGCCUUCCUUCCUACCUAGUUAACUUAGUUAAGAUAGCCACCCACAGGCAUGCCCAGAGCCAGAUCCUAGUGAGUCUAGAUUUUGUUAAGCUGCCAACACUAACUAGGGGGGAGGUUUAGAAGGUGCUUGUGCAUCUAAGGUAAGGCAGGACAGUCUACCCAGCCCAUUGAUUCAAAUGCUAUUCGCUCCCAGAAAUAGUUUCUUACACACACACACACACACACACACACACACACACACACACACAGACACACACACAGACACACACGAAUUGUCACAUGUGAGCACAUUUCACAGUGCACAGGUAGUUGGGUCUCUCUUUUUGUCAUGUGGAUCCUGGGGAUUGAUCUCAGGUUGUCAGGCUUGGUGGUGAGUACCUCUACCCACUGAGCCAUCUUGAUGGCCCCUAUAACUUCUCUCAAGUAAACAUUCAUCUGUUGGUGGCAAUACCAGCCAGUUUAUGCAUUCUGUCUCCUCUCUAUCUUUAAAAGUGCCUUUGUGGCUGGCUUUUCUAGUCCUUUUCACAUUUAGUUGGUUUUUUUCUUUUCUCAGUCUUAAAGUAACACUUUUCUUCAAGACGUGGCUUGAUUGUCAACGGGAACAUUUAUCCCUUUGAAUAUUGCAUGAGCCUUUUCUUGUCCCGUAGUUAUACUUUUGAUUAUUAUGGAGUCUUUCGAAGUCACAUAAAAGUGAAAACUGCAUCAAUUCACAUGAGUCUGUGGUCCAGCUUCCACAAAUAGCGUGUGCUCACCAGUCUGAUUUUCUAUUUCUGUCCCCAUGCCAGCAAACAUACAAUCGAUCCCUCCAUCUCUCUCUCUCUCUCUCUCUCUCUCUCUCUCUCUCUCUCUCUCACACACACACACACACACGCACUCAAGUACCCAUGUAUGUAAUAGAAGAUUGAAGAGCAUUUUUUUUUUUUUUGGUCUUCACCACCUCUGGUCUCUCUGUGGCAUUGAGUAGAGCUGGGCUCUUCUGCUUUGGCCUUGGCCUCUCGGACUCCACACUCUGUGGGUAUUAUUGCUGCCUGAGUGAGCUCAUGGUUUAAGGCUACAGUCCAUCAUGGCGGGGAAGGCAUGGCAGCAGGUGUGAGAGGCAGCUGCUCACAUCCCAUUAGCAGUUGGGAAACACAGAGAUCAGUUCUGGUGCCCAGCUCACUUUCUCCCCUUUAUUCAGUCCAAGACUCCAGUGCAUGGAUGGCGCUGCCCACAUUCAGGGCUGUUCUUUCCUCUCCAGUCAGACCUCUCUGGAAAAGACCUCGCGGACACUCGUGUGCUUCUGUGAGGUCAUGGUGGGUCUAAAUCCACCAAGCUAGCAAUCAGAUUGUCACAUUACAUUUGCUGGACACUUUUUCCUAGGUCUUCUUUUGUGUGAGUCUCUCUCUAACCCUGUCUUCAAGUAUCAGAGCUCUUCAAGACUCAUGUCUAGCUUCUUUUCUCUCCCCAUUCCUCUUUCCAGGACACCUCACCCACACUUGUGGCUUUAGAAAUAAUUUAUAAGUGGAUGACCCCAAAUUUAUUUUUCCAUCCCAGAGUCUUCUUUUGGCUAGAGACCAAAUUUCCAGCACCCCCUCUUUAUUUUCAUUUCUUGGACUUUCCUUCAGCUACCUUCAAAUAAACUCACGAGUCUGAAACCAAACUCAUGUUCUGUCUUUGCCUUGCCUCUUGCUGCUGAGCUUGGCUUCUUUCCUGUGUCUGUGAUUAUGCAAACAGACAGCGUACUGUCUUAUUAGCUAAUCCAUAGGCUAUAGGUCAUUAUUGCCAUUGAGCUGACUUCAGGCCCUCAGAUGACAAACUCUUAAAUUCCCUAUAAUCUCUACUCUUCUCUCUUUCCAUCCCCAAUCCAGGAACCUCUUCCAUUCCUGCCACAUUUUUUUAGGCACAAUUCUUCUCUGGGUCACUGAGUCUGUUUAAUCUGUUUCCCUCCAGAGAUCUCAUGUGCCUCAGGAGAAUUCUAUCUCAGCCCCUGGUGUGUCU
rnacentral:sRNA from 1 species